AAACUUCUCUUUUGUCUAUUGGGUCUAACAAUUUCAAGUCUCUGUCUUUGAACCCAAUUGCUGACAAUCAAGAGCGGAGAUACCCAUCCCGCGUAAGGAAUAAACCAGAUCAUUUUGGUGUCUCCUCUAGUAAUUGUGUUACUUACCCUAUUUCACACAUGUUAUGCCAAGAAAACUCUAUCUUUUCAACCAAAGCAAUGGAACCAAAACCCAAUCUCCC
rnacentral:lncRNA from 1 species